GCUGGUGUGUGUGGGAGGGGACGGGAUGAUCAGUGAGGUUGUCCACGGCCUGGACCCAGAGUGAUUCCAGAGUGGACCAGAACCAAUCGAACCAGGACCUGGUUCCAUGUGUGCUCCGCAUUGGAAUCAUCCCUGCAGGUGACUCCCAACUCAUGGACGUGUGUUCUGUCCGUCACAACAACACCUUCCUCAGGUAAGUCUCGCUGCUCGGAUACGGUUUCUACGGAGACCUCCUGAUGGACUGCGAAAGGAAGUGCUGGAUGGGGCCUCCCAGAUACGAUCUCUCAGGUCUAAUGAUGUUCCUGACCCAUCAGUAUUAUGAAGGGAGUCGCUUUCCUGCCCGCUGAGGACAAACCUGGGGAAACCUAGAGACAAGGUCAAGUGCAGAACUGGGUGCCAUAUCUGUGAGCAGGUUGCCAACAAUAGGCAGCCCCUCUUAGGGGAUCAUGUCUACUAGAUGGCUGAAGAGGACUCUGACAAGGUUUGACAUGUCCUUCAUGGAGGUGCACUGUGUGCGGGAGAUCCGGUUUGUUCCGAAGCACAGCAAUGGGAUCUCAGAGGUGGACCCGAGUGAGGCCAGUGGGAAGAAGAUCUGUAACCAGGUCUGUACGGCCCAUCCCAGCUACGACACAGGCCAUAGCAACUGGAACUGUGAUGAGGAGAUCAUGCCUCAUGCGGCUAUACAUGUCAGUAAUUGUUCUUGGAAUGACUCAGCAAAUGAGCGGCUGAGAUAAUUGAUGGUGAUAACCCCGAUCUCCCCCCAAAAAUAAAGAAAAAAAGAAGACUGAGAGAAGUUGGCUGCAUUCUUUCACUGCUAGACACAAUAUUAGUAGGUGACUUCAAUAGUAUAUAUUUUAAAGUAAAUAUGGUUAAGUGUUUGGUUGCGUCUGUCUGGAUUGCCUGAUGGGCAGUGCAUGCACAGUUGGGCCUAUUCAAAUAUUAUUUGAAUCACCAGUGUGACUGACUGGAAAAUAAAAUCUGUAUGGUCCUUGAAGCAUCAUCUGAGUUGAAUUUUUAUUAAAGUCG
rnacentral:lncRNA from 1 species